rnacentral:lncRNA from 1 species
AGCGCUUGGAAAGUUGAUCAAGACUCUCCCCACCAACCUACCAAAAAAAUGAACGGAUUAGAUAACUAGUAUACAACAACCACAAGGAAAAAUGACUGUCACUGAUUCAGAAGGAUUCAAGGUAGCUUUGGGAGGAGAAUGGAAGGUAGUUACAGGAAUUUCUUGGUUUCUGUCAUCUGAUGAGAAAGCCUUGUAAGCUUCAGGCUUGGUACUGACGGCAUCAUCAAACUUCAAACCGUGGAGAUCUCCCAUGUGCCUUUCUCUCAGUGACUGAUCAAACACCAGCUGAAACAAACAGUAGUUAAUUUAUUUAAAACAGCAAUUCGAAAAAUUAGCAUACAUUAUGGAGACAUGACAAGCAGUAAUUCAAGUUGUCCCAGAGGAUUCGUACAUUGGGUACAUGGCAAGCUAUUGCGAUAGUUUGUGCAGUCUCGGCAGCGCGCUUCAAAUCAGAGGAGUACACAGCAGCUGGCUUGGCUUCUUUGGACAACCGACGGGCAAGCUUCAGGUUUUUUUUAAUAAUUGAUAAAAUCAGAACCACGUAAAAGCAUGAUUCCGAGACAUAACCGCACAAAGUAUAACUACCAUGAUAGCUUGCUGCCUACGGAGUACCAGUCUCAUUCAGCUCCGGAUCCAUAAAGAGUUGAAUACCGAGCCUCGUGAAGGAGGAGAAAACUAAUGGAACAAUGGUGAGAAGGGACUUCUAUACUGAAGUCUGAAUUGCUGAUACUGUUAGCAACAAGCACCUGAUUCAACUGGAGGAGCCAUUUCAAGCAUAAUCAUUGAAAUCACAAAACAGUUUUGAAAAGAUCGAAUCAUCCGGAAAAAAGGAGGAUUCUCUUUUUCCUUCUUCCUCGGUACAAAUUGCAGGUGGAGAAGGACAGGGAGAGAACUGACCUGAAUGAUGCGGGAGGCGUUCCACGACGUCUCUUCAUGCCGCACCACCACCACCUCCGCGAAGUUCUCGCCGUCCUGCGAUGCAGGUGACAUUGCUCGAUGGGCGCUAGCCGCUGCAGUGAAGAGGAGAGGGACGGACCUUCCAUCCAGGUGCUUUUGUUCCAAUUGACUUUGGAUCCGAGACUAAAGUGUCUUUAGUCCCGGGUCAAAAAUGAUGCACCGAAGGCUACCGACGGAAGGGGCUUUAGUCCCGGUUGUAAAGACCAACUGGGACUAAAGCCUCCCCUUUAGUCCUGGUUGUAACUGCUAAAAGAUCUGGUACCGAUGCCACCCCUUUGUCCCAGUUGGUAAUUCCAACUGGGACUAAAUCUUUUGUUCCGGUUGAAUAGACCAACCGGGGCAAGGGGGCUUUAGUCCCGGUUGGUAGCUUCAACCGGAACAAAACGCCCUUCACGCGCCUCCUUCUCUUUCCACGUUAUCUUUCUCCUCACAUCCUUCCUUCCUUAUCCUCGCACAACACUCCUCUCCACUUCUUAUCCACCGACGCCUCCUCUCCUCUCUACUCCUUAUUCACUGGCACCUCCUCUCCUCCACUCUCCUCUCUGCGCUGCCGCCACCCCAUCCCCCUCUGCUGCCCCUCCCCUUCCCCCUCUGCUCGCCCCUCACUAGUAGUGAGCGACAACGGGGCGAGGGCAGGGUAGUGGCGCGCGGGGGAGCGGUGUCGACCAGCUAGAGGUGUCCCCAUGAGCUAAUGCGGCUGGGCAGCGGGUGGCCGAGCGGUGCCGGGCAGGCUGCAGUGGGCGAGGGCGGAGCGGAGGUGGACAGAGGUGGGUGGCGGCAGGUGAAGGCGGAGCCGAGGUUGUCGGUGGCGGAGCGGAGGCGGGCGGCGACUGGCGGAGGCGAGCAGUGGCGGAGCCGAGGCAGUGGCGGCAGGCGGAGGCCCAUUUUUUUUUAUUUUUUACCUUUUUAGUCCGGGUUGGUAAUACCAACCGGGACUAAAGGACGUCUUUAGUCCCGGGUGAAUGACUCAUGACUAAAGGACCUCCCCUUUUAUCUCGAAAACUUAGUCCCGGUAGGAUUUUCGUGAUCUAUGGCCCUAUCCAACCUGGACUAAAGUCGCAUUUUCCACCAGGGGCAGCAUCCGGAAGGCUGGAAUCACAACCACCUCUCUUGUCCUAUAUAUAUAAUUACCCCGUCCACUUGUCAUAUGUGUUCUUAAUAUUUCUCAUAGUUGACUGUAAUCUCGUCUUGGUUUAUUUAAGUUAGAAAGAAACACGGGAAGAGCAACAGCGCGUUAAUUGGUUUCUGCUCCAAGUCUAAAAGUCUUCCAAGUUUGUUGUACCAGAAUGCUGAUGAUUGCUAUUCAGCCAAGCAAACGAAACACGGUUGCAGAGUGAUGAUACAUCAAGUUCAUGACAUUUAUACUAGACCACACGCCCAAGAAAAUGCAAUGUAAAAACACGGAGAGGCGGAGGCGGUCGGCGGCCGCGGCGUGAGGGCAGAGACGGUGGACGCGGCACGAAUUGAAGAACCUCAAAACGCCGCGGCAAGCGGCAUUGUGGCCGUUGAAUGGCGGGGUUGUAGCCCUCAAGCCGCAUCCAACCAUCACCAAAUGCACUAUGCGGGAAGCCAUCUCCGGUGAGGUGUCCGGCGUCCCCGAACUUCUCCAGGAUCCAACGGCCAUCGGAACCGGAGAUAUGGACAACGCUGAUUGAGGUGUUAGGAAUUUUCUUGCCAACCGAGAUCGUUGGAUCGGCGUGCCUGCAGAUUUCCUCUAUGACUGCCUCAUGGGAGACGACGACCACCCGCUCACCUUUUAACGCAACACGCGACAGCUUGAAAUUCACCACCAGGUGCAAGUUUUGACCAUAUAGAGAGCACAAGAAAUUACUAUGUGGAUUAGUGCUUACCCUUGUGCUUCUUGGCGAUUUCGUUCAAGCGGGAAACACAACGCUCAGAAAGUUGAUCAAGACUCUCCCCGCCACCCUGUCCAAAGGAGAUGACUAGUGAGUAAUAUAUAGCAACCAACAGGGGAAAAGCAUGCCUAAGCCUAGCUUUUACUUCGACUAAGACUAAGUACAACUUUGAGAGGAGAAUGGAAAUUAGUUACAGGUAUUUCUUGGUCUCUGCCACCGCAUGCGAAAGCCUUGUAAGCUUCAGAUCUCUUGGCAUCGUCAAUGGUCCAACCUUGGAACAAUCCCAUGUGCCUUUCCGUCAGUGCCCGAUCAAUCACCAGCUGAAACAAACAGCAGCCCAUUUAUUCAUGAAGCGAGAAAAAUUAGCACAAACUAUUACUAGUAUUCAAAGAAUGUUCAUACAUCAGAAUCAGAUACGCAGCAAUGCUCUGCGAUCGUUUGCGCAGUCUCGGAAGCACGCUUCAAGUCAGAGGAGUAGACGGCAGCUGGCUUGGCUUCUUCCGACAGACGACGGGCAACCUUGAGGGUUUGAACAAAAUCAGAAUCACGUACAUAUCUCAAGUCAUGACGAUCUCACAAAGUAUGGCGUACCUUGGCAGCUUGCUGCCUACCAGUUUCGUUCAGCUCCUGAUCGAUCCGUCCCUGUUGAAACUUAAAAUAAGCCUUAACACAUGUUGUAUUGCAUCGCAGAGGGAGAAUCAUAUCUAAGUGAUGCGAUAAGUAGCAAGCUGUGACAGGACAGGAUGAAGAAGAAGCGACCUGAAUGAUGCGGGAGACGUUCCAAUCCGUCUGUCCAUGGCGCACCAACACCACCUCCGCGAAGUGCUCGCCAUGCGGCGAUGCAGGUGCCAUUGAUCGAUCGGCCGGCGUUAUUGCUGCAGAGGGAACGAAGGGGAGAUGGAUGGUCUUGCUCUAGCUGGCUUGCAGAGGUUCCUUGAAAUCUGGAACCUCUCUGCUCUCUUGUGCUAUAUGAUUGGCCAUCUGGGGCGACUUCAUAGGAGGCCAGAGAGGCCAGAGAGUAGAUUAUAAUUCGUGUACGUUUUGAAGAUGGAAAGAUGGCGACCUGCUAGUUGACUAAUAAAUUAGAAACACGGUUUGAUUUGGUUUGGUUUCGAGAGCAAUUUUGGUUUAGUUUGGUUUCAAGAGCAAUUUGAGCAACAACACCCAUUCCAACAGCAGGUUCGGCUUCUCCAGCAAGUACGUGGCCAACUAAGCUGGUCGGCGGACCAAAUUAAAGAAGCUAUCCACUUUCUUCUCCAUCAAGAUACCCUGUGCUAUAUAAUUACCCCCAUCCACAUCAAGAUACCCUGUGCUAUAUAAUUACCCCCAUCCACUUGUCAUCUGCGUUCUUAAUAUUUCUCAGAGUUGACUGUAAUCUCAUCUUGGUUUAUUUAAGUUGGAAAGAUAAUUGCCUGCUAUUUAAGAAAAAAAAACACGGGAAGAGCAACAGCGCGUUUGGUUUCUGCUCCAAGUCUAAAGUCUUCCAAGUUUGUGGAAUCAUUAGAAUGCUGAUGAUUGCUAUUCAGCCAAGCAAAGGAAACGCGGUUGCAGAGUGAUGAUACAUCCAAGUUCAUGACAUUUAUACUAGAGCACACGCCCAAGAAAAUGGCAAUGUAAAAACACGGAGAGGCGGAGGCAGUCGGCGGCCGCAGUGAGAGGUGUGCGAGCGCGAGGGCGGAGGUGGCGGACGCGGCACGAAUUGAAGAACCUCAAAACGCUGCGGCAAGCGGCAUCGCGGCCGAUGAACGGCGGGGUUGUACCCCUCAAGCCCCAUCCAACCAUCACCAAAUGCACUAUGCGGGAAGCCAUCUCCGGUGAGGUGUCCGGCGUCCCCGAACUUCUCCAGGAUCGAACGGCCAUCGGAAUCGGAGACAUUUACAACGCUGAUUGAGGUGUUAAGAAUUUUUCUGCCAACCGAGAUCGUUGGAUCGGCGUGCCUGCAGAUUUCCUCUAUGACUGCUCAUGGGAGACGACGACCACCCGCUUACCUGUUAACGCAACACGCGACAGCUUAAAAUUCACCACUAGGUGCAAGUUUUAACCAUACAGAGAGCACAAGAAAUUACUAUGUGGACCGGUGCUUACCCUUGUGCUUUUCGGCGAUUGCGUUCAAGCGGGACACAGCGCUCGGAAAGUUGAUCAAGACUCUCCCCGCCACCCUGUCCAAAAGGAGAUGACUAGUGAGUAAUAUAUAGCUUUUACUUUAACUAAGACUAAGGUCCCGUUUGGUAGGGCUUCUCAAAGUGCUUCUCCACCGGUUUUUGGUGAAGUCCUACUAAUGGGUCAAUUUCAAAACGGCUUCACCACCAAAGCCAGGGAGAAGCCGCAAAACGGCUUACACUAGAGAGGAGAAGCCAAAAAAAGUGGCUUCACCGGCUUCUCCUCCCUCUCCAAGCAUUAAGUGAUCAUAAAAUUACAUAUAUUGCCAUUGAGAAGCCGUUUUACCAAAUGUUUUGCAAAAUGGCUUCAGCUUCACUAAAAAAGCCACUCCACCGAAAAAGCCGAAGCCGAAGCGGAAAUUACAUAUAUUGCCAUUGAAAAAUUACUAUGUGGAUCGGUGCUUACCCUUGUGCUUCUCGGCGAUUGCAUUCAAGCGGGAAACACAGCGCUCGGAAAGUUGAUCAAGACUCUCCCCACCACCCUGUCCAAAAGGAGAUGACUAGUGAGUAAUAUAUAGCUUUUACUUCAACUAAGACUAAUUAAGUACAACUUUGAGAUCAGAGGAGAAUGGAAAUUAGUUACAGAUAUUUCUUGGUCCUGCCACCGUGAGCGAAAGCCUUGUAAGCUUCAGAUCUCUUGGCAUCGUCAAUGGUCCAACCUUGGAACAAUCCCAUGUGCCUUUCCGUCAGUGCCCGAUCAAUCACCAGCUGAAACAAACAGAAGUCCAUUUAUUCGGAUGAUAUAUAGAACACCAAUAAUUCGUGAAGCGAGAAAAAUUAGCACAAACUAAUACUAGUAUUCAAAGAAUGUUCAUACAUCAGAAUCAGAUACGCAGCGCGAGGACGGAGGUGGCGGACUAGGCACAAAUUGAAGAACCUCGAACGGCCGCGGCUAGCGGCAUCGCGGCCGUUGAACGACGGGGUUGUAGCCCUCAAGCCGCAUCUAACCGUCCACGGAUUUGGGCCAUUGAAUAGCUUAUUUUUUUUAAAGAACAGGAGGGUAAACCCCUACUGAUUAUAUAUUAAAUUGAAAGGAUACAAAGAAAAUGGCACAAAUCUAAAGAGAGAAAAUAAAAAAAAAGGAAGAGGAAGAGAAAAAGAAAAAAGGGAAAAAGACAAGCCUAGGAGUACAAGCUAAGAGAUUACAGAGUAUGUAACCAGACAUUCAUAGCAAGCACUAAAGCAGGGUGCGCUCUAUGGGGUAACAAGGAAAAUUCAGACAUGAAUUUCCUUUUGCACAAUUCCACUGAUGGAUUGAACAUCCAGUCAUUCCUAGUCAUCCAGAUGCUCCAUGACAUAAGAAUUAUGAUUUCCAUGAAGAAAGGAACAUGCUCCAUGACAUAAGAAUUAUGAUUUCCAUAAAGAAAGGAACAGCAAGCUUGUCCUUGAUUUGUUUGAAAAUCCGAAGGAUUGGUUUGGUGGUGAUAACUGAUACUCCAAUUGAAUUCCAGCAUGCUUUGGCAAAGUUACAUUGGAGGAAUAGGUGUGCCACAUAUUCCAUCUUUUGUAAUAUACAUAGUUCGCAAGUGUAGGAGUCAAGAUCCAUUUGUUUCCUUCUCAAUAUAUCUCUUGUACUCAGACGAUCUUUGAGCAAUAACUAGAAGAAGACCUUGUGUUUGAUCUGACAUUUAGAUUUCCAAAGUCAGAAAUAUGCUGGAUGGGUAUUCCUCUACCCAAUGAUAGCCUUAUAUGCUUUGGAUGUUGAAAACAUUGAAUUGCCCCAAAUGUAUGUACACCUAUCAGGUUCUUGUACGGUAUUCAUGCCAUCAAUGAGUUGUUGCAGGAUAUGGUAUUCAUGCCACCAAUGAGUUGCUGCAGGAUAAUAAAUUGUGAAUGUGCCUGGGUUGUUAGGGGUAAGUUGAAAUUCUGGAUGAAACUUGGUUAGUUGACAGCCGCUUUGAAGGUGAUGUUGUAGUCUUUGGCAAAUGAGAUAAGCUCCGGAUGAACCUGUGAUUGCACUGCUCCAUUCCAAAAGUCUUUUCAAAAGAGUACUGUGGAGCCUUCUGCCACUAGAACUGAAGCAAUUCCUUUGUAUGUAUCCAAUAAUUUGACUACAUCCCUCCAUCAAAAGGAGCCUUUUCUUUGCUAACCCAGUAGUCGACCAUUAGCAUAGUAAUUUUCCCAUACAAUGUUGACCCAAGGAGUGUCAACCUUGGAGAAGAACUUGUGCAGGAACUUUAGCAACAUAGCAUCAUUAUGUGUAGCAAGAUUGAAAACUCCCAAUCCACCUUGUUUCUUAGGCAAACAUACCAAAGGCCAAGCAGCUGUGGAAGGCUUCUUGGAGUUCAUGUCUGAUCCCCUCCAUAAGCAGUAUUUCCUAUAUUUGUGCAAUUUUAGCGUUGAUGUAUAGAAAACUACUGAUGAAGAGAAGACCGAGUUAACCAUCUCCAACUUGCCAACUUGACUCAAAAAAAGGGACAUGUUGCUUAACCUCUUUUCUAUCUUUUGUAUGAGGGGCAGAAAAUUUUCCAUGUUAGGCUUGGUGGUUCCUAGGGGCAGUCCCAGAUAUGUGAAGGGGAGAGAACCUUUUUGACAGUUAAAAGUUGUGGCAAGAUUCUCAAGAUUUGCUUCAGAAAUGUUUAGGGGUACUAUAGCCGAUUUACUAUAAUUGACCUUCAGUCCAGUGGAGGCAGCAAAGGUGCUAGGAAGGUCUUUGAGGAAUAAGUGCUGGUUUGGGCAGGCCUCCAUAACAAGUAGGGUGUCAUCUGCAUAUUGGAUAAUUGGAAAAUUUGUCCCUGCUCUUUCUGGAAUUGGUAGUUUAAGAAAUCCUUGGUCUUUGGCUCUAUUGAUGACUGAUUGAAGUAGGUCUGGUGCCAGGACAAAAAGAAGAGGUGAGAGGAGAUCACCUUCCCUUACUCCUCUUCUGAAGUGAAAGACUUUCCCUAGAACUCCAUUCAGAAGAAUUGAAGAUGUGUCUGAUCCUAGUAUGUCUUUGAUCCAAUUAAUCCAUCUAUCCCCGAAGCCUUGUGUUUUAGAAUUUGUAGAAUGUUCUGAUGUUCCAUCUUAUCAAAGGCUUUUCCAAAGUCUAGUUUCAGAAUCACUAAUUCUCUUUUAGAGGCCUUGCAGAUAUGUAGAUAUUCAAUGACCCAAGCCAGAUAGUCGUGUAUAGAUCUUGAUCUAAUAAAACCAUAUUGAUUUUUGUGGAUGAAUCUUAGGAUGACCUGCUGUAGCCUGUCUACAAGUAGCUUGGUGAGUAGCUUAAUUGUGGAGUUCAGGAGGGAAAUUGGUCCAAAGUCUCCAACUAAGGAUGGACAGUUCUUCUUGGGGAUCAGGAUGAUGUAUGAAGCAUUGAUGCUUCUUAGACAUAUAUUUCCUUCAAAAAAAAUCCUCACGGAGUUUGUAGAAGUCUUGAGAAAUUAGGUUCCAGCACUUCUUUAGGAACUCUACAUUAAAGCCAUUAGGUCUUGGGGACUUGUUGUUAGGGAGCUCUGUAAUUAUCUUAUUAAUUUCUUCUUAGGUAAAUGGACUUUCUAACCAGUCCAUAUUGUUGUCAACCCGAAGUAGAGAGUCAAGGUCAAAGUACAUGUGUGUAAACUUUGAGGUUCCUAUUCUUCCUUUAUAAGCGUUCCAGAGCAUUGCUGCCUUGGCUUCAUGGUCAAACACCUCACUUCUAGAAUCAUCUGUCAGAGAGGUAAUAGUGUUCUUCCUGUGUCUGAUCGACGCAUUGGCAUGGAAAAACUGAGUACACUUGAUGGGUCCAUAGACCCGGGGUUCCCAAUGGGCCUGCUUUUGCACAACACCUGGCCCAACGAGAGGUGCAGUGAUAAUGCACGCCUGGGCCGGCCCAAAUACGUGACGCCAGGCCGAGACCAUGAUCCAGCCACCGACCUGCAAUUCCGACUAGGAGGCCUGGUCGACGCCCCGACCAGAAGGCCUGGUCGGGGGCGGGACCACAGUCCGACUCCGACCAAGUUCCCCCAACUAGGGACACGCCAGACCUACGCAUACCACUCCUUCCCGACUGGCACGGUCGGGACUAUGGCGGAACUACCCAAAUUAACCUGACUAAAAUGCACUUAAGUCAUCUGACACGCGAUCAUGCACUUUAACCAAGUCAACUUGGUCAUCCGUUGGAUUUCAUCCGAUAAACCACUUACUCAGGAUCGAGAAGCAUUGCUCACAUGAAGGUGAGUGGCACAAAGAUUACAACAUUCCUAUCACAUUAACAUAGUUUGGAAGGUUGUAAACAACGAAGAAGUAAAACAAGCGGAAGCUACCCGACGAUACAUAAUACCAUGGAGAAGCCGACCAUGAUAUCAAUGACCCCUGUCCUCGCCAUCCGAGGAGGGAUCCCACUCGACUAUCCAACCCGGAGGGAGCUGGGUAGGCCAAGUGGUGCCAGCAGCCAAACUAUCGACAUUACCUGAAAAGUUAUGCCACAAGCAAGGCUGAGCAACUAAUACUCAGCAAGACUAACCUAAUAGGUGAUAACUAUUCACCGACUCCUAGACAUGCAAAACUUUUUGGUUGUGGGUUUGUUUUUGCCAAAACACCUAAAGUUGUCCUUACUUUCAACAUUUUAGCUCAAGUUCUAUGUUCAUUAACCAGACUAGAUUAGCAACUUAUACUAAACAAGCAUAGUUUCCAAACAAUUAAAGAACAAGCAUCAAGAUUAAAGUCAUCAUCAUAUUCCUUCUUUACUCAGUGCAGAAUAACGAUCAAGCAGUCCCAAACUAUGAGAGGCAGAUGAAUUAAUUUGAAUUUAUUAACCAUGCAUGGAGAACCUAAUCUCACGACAUCCGCGCACCACGAAGGGUCGCUUCACUUGUCAGCCGUCCCCAUCGAUCCCUAUGCACGUGUCAGGGCCAAACUUCCCUGGCAUGCAAUGCUGCACAGUCCCGGUCUCUUGUCGUACUGUGACGGCACUUGCACCCACAUGAUGCACCAUGGGAACCUCGUUCCAGGGACAGCAGGAGUAUAAGACACGCCCCAGUUCAAUCAGGUACUAGGCUUCCCUAUCCCAUACUAGGUAUGAGAUUAGUACUUUCAAACACUUGAUCAUGAACGCUGACAUGUUUUGACCUUAGCAAGUUCAUUACUAGACAGACAGGGCAAACCACCACAUUGGAACCAUUCCCGGUCCCGUCCGUCAUCCUUAUAGUUGUAGUAUGAGAAAACAAACAACUCCUAUAACUCGCGAGUGACAGGCAAUCACUCGACUUUUGCCAAGUCCUAUUUAGCACAACAACUACUCGACCUUAGCAACUAGUGUUCAGAUCAAAGGUACUAAAUUCAUGCAUCUACAGUUUCAAUCAACUCCUACAAACGUAAAUGCACAAUCAUAAUCAUCAAUAUAUUGCAUAAAUUUAAAACAGGGAAGCAUGCACCGGGGCUUGCCUUCAGGUUUAGAAAAAUUUAGCGGGUCUUCGGGGUCUUGAUCUAGCUCGGGCUCAACUUCCGUGUGAUGUAGCUCUGCGGCGUGUUCCUCUUCCAGUGUAGGGUGGAGCUCGUAGGUUCCGUCAGCGAUAUUAGCUUCUACACGACAUGCACAUGCAGAGAGUUCAAUUUUUCAUGCUUUCAUACGAAUGAUGUAAGACAUGACUUAUUGCUGAAAUGAAAGUUGCAUUUCGACCACAUUCACCUAAACAAGGUUUCAAAUUUCGUUACCUUCAUGAAGUAAGGUGUGUUGUGGUUUAAAACUAAGGGUUGACUUUGAUGGUGAUUGUGUACAUAUAUAAGAUUUCAUAACUUAGACUUCACAAGGAAAGUGAGGGUCGCUUUUAGGAUUGUUCGGGUUUCAUUUGGAAAGUCAUUUAUUUCUGAAUGUUUUUAUUGUACCUCUUCCAAAAAUCACCAAUUAAGUUUACUAGGACUUAACAUUUCCUUACUCAUUUAAACCGAUUCCUCAUCCAAAAUUUGUUUCCACAAACCAACACUAGCAUAUGACAUUGAGAAAUGAGCAGUACCUCACUCAUGUCAUCAAUGAGUUACUGUAAAAAUUUGGGAUCCAUUGAAUUAGCACAAAAAGAAUUAAAAUUACUUUAUUACCCAAGGGUAGCAUGCACUUAACCAUUUUUAUCUCAAAACCUACAGUGAUUCCGAGGGUGAAACUUUAACAGUGGGUUGAAGGUGUGUUAUAGAGACUUUGGUGAAUUUUUCAUGAUUUGUGGUGAAGGACAACUAUUUCCCAUAUUUUACUCCUAUUAUCUUGAUCUAAAAAGGAAAGUGGGUUUCAUCAAGCUUUAGUCAAGGUUUCAUAUUUUCCAUGUGAACUAAGCUUCAAAACUAAGCUACUCCAAGUGAUUUCAUAUUUUUCUCAGCUCUAGAUUAAAACUUAUGCAAAAAGAAAGAUUUAACCCUAGAUUUCAAAUAUAAAGCUAAAACAGUGAGUUAAAGUUCUACUCCAGGGUCUUCACUAUUUUUCCAAGCUUCCAUACUUAGAAACAUACACCAUAGAGUUGGAUUUAUCUUUUUAGUAUUUUUCUUUGAUUUACUAUGAUUUAAAAGGCCUAAGCAAGAAAUGAAACUAUAGGGUCUUAUUUCCAACAGUAACAUGGGCAAGAUUAUUUUUGUAUGAAACUGGAUAGUUCACUAAGUCCAACAAAAUUUAUUUGGCAUUUUCUAAUUUUUCUACGAUUUAUGGUGCAUUUACAAAGUUUAUUCUAUUUUCUAUCAAUUUAAAACAAUUAACCGAAAGAACUUACAAUCUAACCCUCGCGUCUAAGGUUUAAUCGUGCAGUGUUCUCUAGUUCUUGUGCUAAGGCCCCUAGAAAAAGAUAAAAGACACAGGGAGGCCCCUAGCGGCGGCCGUCGCCGAUCUUCGCCCGAUUUCGGCGAUGCAAGGCUUGGGCCUGGGCAAGAAGCUAUUGGGGAGAAGCGCGUUCUCACCUAGGGUCAAUUGGCGGCGGUUAGGACGUCGGAGAGGGCUCGGUGAAGGCGGAACGCCGUGGGGACGAGGAGCGGGUCGUGGCGAUGGUCCUCAAGGUGUUCCGGUGCCGGUAGUGCUCCGGGAGGGCAAUGGGCAGCUCGGGGACGUGCGUGGUGGAGCGGCGGAGCGAGCGGCGGUCUCGAUGGGGCGCGGGGCGGCACGGAGGUGGGGCUCCACGGGAGACCCGAGCGGCAGCCCAAGGAAAAUAGGGGAGCGGUGGUGCUAGAGCUAGCGGAGGGCGGUGUAGGCGGCACCAUAAGUCCUUUUAUAGGGCCAGGGGGAGCGGCGGGUCGAGGCGGGGCUCCGGACGUGGGAAGAUAAGAUCGGAGGGGCGCUGUGGGCUGCGGGUCGAAGCUCCAUUGGCGGCGGCGCCAUUGGUCGGGGUGCGGAGGCCGUGGGAUAGGAUCCCUCGGUCAUUGGCCUUGAGGGAUUCGAAGCGUGCAUGUAACAACCCUAGGUUAGCUAAACCCUGUUUAAACUUAAAUGAAGCAAUUAACAGCUGAUUAAACAAGUCAAGGGUCAACUUUGGCCCCUAAGAGCUUAAAUAUGUGAUUAAGUCAUAAGUUAAAUUUUUAUAUAACAGCCUGAAAUUUUAUCCAACUAAGAGUUGUUAAACUCAUCAUUUCUAACAACUUUUAUUAUAAGCAUUUUGUUUGAAAUUGAGUAGAAGAGAUCCAAAAACUCAGUUUAAAAUCAGAGGCUUUUCAAAUCACUCAAAAUCCUAAGUGCUGAAAGGCAUGAAAAAGUCCCAACUUUGGGGCUCUUUAUUUCAAAAUUUCUAAUAUAAAAUCAAGCUGAGCUCUAUACACAAGUUUUAGAACUUCAAGUGCUUAAUAACUUUGAUUUUUGGAGCUAGGCCAAAAUCUGCACAAAAGUUUUCAAACUUUAGGUCAAACACAGCCAGUUUGGUCAACACCGUCACACUCUGAAAAUCGUUCCAAGUCUGAAGUUUUCAGUUUUUGCCAAACAUUGAUGCAUUUUAUCUCCAAAACCGUUUGGAUUUUGAACAAAAACUUUAUGAAUAAAGUAAACUAGGGUGCUAGGCCUACAAGUUUUGUAAAGGAGGGUAGGGGCGAGCAGUUCAAAAAUUGGUAGUAAAUCAAGCCCCAAGACCGGUCCUCCGGCAUUUUUCGCGUUCCCGCCUAGCGUCAGAGAACGCACGCGCCAGAGCCCGCACCUCGCCCGCCGUGUGGCUCCACCUCACCGGCGAGCCCCGUCACCCAACCUGCGGCCGUGAGCUGACCCGACAAGCGCCGCCUCGCCUAAUAGCCUCGCUUGCCGCGACAGCCUCGACGCGCGCCUACAGUCGGUCGCACGCCCAGUCACCCGGCCCUCUGCUACGGGUGCAUGUCCCCGCACGCGCCGCAGACCGUCGCCGCCACUUCGCCCAACGCCCUCCCGCGACAAGAUGCCACAAGAGCCGAGCCUUGCCAAUGCGCCUCCCUAACAGCCCCGCUCAUUCGCGCACGCGAGCUCUUGCCCUAUCCUGCCGCACCGCCCGUCGGCGGCAAUGGCCACUGCCGAGCCUCGCCAAUGCGCCUCCCUAACAGCCCCGCUCGUCCUCGCACGCGAGCUCCUGCCCUAUGCUGCCGCACCGCCCGUCGGCGCCAAUGGCCGCCGCCAUGGCCGGUCCACCCGGCAGCACGCGCCUUGCCCCACUCUUCGGCUCCAGCUACAGACGCGUGCCUCGCCGCGGCUAUAAUACGCCCACCAGCCUGCCCGCACUCCCUUUCACAGCUCCGCGCACCCGCACCGCCGGAACGCCCACCUGAGCACGCCGCCGCCUAAGCUCCUCCAUGGAGAGCUAGCCUCCGCCGUGCGCCACCCCUCACCGGUGCCCCUAGCCACUUCGCCGCCACCUCGCGAAGCUGCUGCGCUUGCCCAUCUCCGCCGCCCAGACCCAGCCCCGCCGGAACACCAACGCCACCGCCCGCCGCCGCAGCCGAGCAAGCCGUCUCCGCGUGCUGCCACCGUCGGACCGCCCCGCCGCCCGCAACCGCCUCAAAUCAGUCGCAGGUGAGCCCCUGCGCCUCCCCGACCUCUUGUCACCCCAAUCCCGCUGGCUAAUCGCCGGAAUUCCGACCGGCCACCGCCGCCGGCCCGCCGAGGACUCGAUUGCAUUUGAAAAAUGCGAAUUAGGGGUCUCUGUGAAGUUUUGUUACAACCUAUGGGUGAUUAGUUGAAAACCCGAGGGCCCAACCGUAAGUCUACCUGAGAAAACCCGCGCGAGGACCUGUUUGUGUAUAGCGAGGGCAUGGUUGUGAAAUCCGAAAGUUUCUGAGGGCCUAGUUGCAAAUACGUUUCGGUUUAUAUUUUUAUAUCGGCAGAAUAUAUGUUUAACUUUGAAAAUUCACCAAAAUUCGUAGAAAAUUCAGCAAAAAGUCAAACCAAUUUUGCUAGACUCAGUAUAAGAGUAGUUUUUAAUAAAAAUACUUUUGGCACAUGUCUUUGUUAGAAUUAAAUUUAUAUGAUUUAAUCCUUGUUUAAGCUAUUUAAAUCAUAACAAAUCACAGAAAAAUGCUAAAAAGGGUAAAUCCAUUUCCCAAGUGGUUGUUUCAGAUAGUAGAAGCUUGGAAAAAUAAUUUUGGAGCCCAUCUCAGAUGUUUAAAUCUCUAUUUUAGUUUUAUCAUGUGUAUCUAAGGUUGUUUUCGUCUUUUGCAUUAUAAUUAAACCAGAGAUGAUAAAAAUAUGAAACAAAGCGUAAUAGGUCAGUAGUGUAGUAUAGUUUGUAGGAAAAACAUAGAACCUGAUUAGAAGCAUCAGAAAAACCACCUUCCUUUUUAGGGAGGAAUAAAUAGGGUAAAUGUAUAGAAAAAGAUGCCCUUCAUUAAAAAUUGUGAGAAAUUCACUAGAGGCUCUAUUUCACCCCUGGAACCUACUGUUAAAAUUUCGUGAUCAGUUUCAUCUUGGUUUCUGUUUUAAUAAUGUUUAAGUAUAUGCUACCUUAGGGUAAUUGAGUAAUGCUAAUUCUUUUCAUGCACCUCCAAUGGAUCUCAAACUUAUGCAGUAUCUUAUCCUUGCCAAAGUUAAGUUACUGGUAUAUUUUCAGCUUCAUAGCUUGCUGUUAAAGAUGGAAAUAAAAUUGCAAGAUGAGCCUAGCUAAAUGAAAGAAAGAAACCUUAAUUAAUGAUAAAGGUAUUUUUUUAGGAGAGGUACAAAAGAACAUUCAGAAACAGGAUAACUUUCCGAUCUAAAGUUUAACAAGAUAGUGCAUAUAUGUACACAAUCACCAUCAAAUCAACCCCAGGCUUGUACCACACCCCACCUUCCGCGUGUAGAUAAAGAAGGUGUAAAACCUUGUUCAAGUGAAUGUGGCCCUAAUAUAACUACUUCUUCAGUACUAACUCGUGUUUUACAUCCUAUGAAAAAGUUUGGGAAUUUUUAACUUGAUGCAUUGCAUUUCGUGUAGACCUGAACCUCGCUGACGGGACUUACGAGCUUCACCCGGCGCCAGAAGGAGCCAUAGCGGAUCUGCAGCAAGUCAGAGCCGAGCCCGUACCAAAACAAGCCGAGGACCAGUUCGCUAACUCCCCGUGUGAAGGCAAGCCCCAGAGCAUGAAUUCCUAUCUUUAAAUACCUGCAAUACAAUUGAUUGCUUUGAUUGCGCAUUUACGUUCUAGGAGUUGAUUAACACCGUAGAUGCAUGAAUUUAGUACCAUUGAUAUGAACACUAGUAUAUUAAGUCGAGUAGUUGCAAUACUUAAUAGGACUCGAUAAAAGUCGAGUAAUUUCCUGUCACUCGCGAGUUAUAUAAGUUGAUUGCUUUACUUAUGUUGCAACUAUAAGGACGAUGGACGGGGAUGGGCUUAUGUUUGGUACUCGGUGGUUUGCCCCGUCUGUCUACAUGAAAUUGGACUAAGGUCGAGAUUUGAUAGUGUUCGUGAUCAAGUAUUUGAAAGUACUAAUCUCAUACCUAGUAUGGGAUGGGGAAGCCUAGUACCUGAUUGAACCAGGACGUGAGCGGAUCGUUCCACUGUCUCUGGAAACUGAGUUCUCCCCUGAUGCAUCAUGUGGUGACAAGUGCGGUCAUAGAACGGCGGAGGCCUGGUCUAUAGAGCCUUGUACCAAGGGAAGUGGGCCCGACACAGGUUUGGGAAUUGAUGGGGGUGGCUGACAAAUGAAGUGACCCUUCGCGGUGCACGGAUGUCAUGGGAUUAGGUUCACCAUACAUGGUUAAGAAAUUCGAAUCGAUUCAUCAGCCUCUCACAGUUUGGGAGUACUUGAUCGCUAUGCUACACUGAGUAAGAAUGAAAGAUAGUGAUGACCUAAUAUGGUUACUUGCUAUUAAUUAUUUGGAAACUAUGCUUGUUUAGUAUAGUUGCUAACUUAGAUUGGUAAAUGAACAUAGAACUUGUGGCUAAAAUAUUGAAAGUAAGCACCUACAUUAGUCGCUUUUGGCAAAAACAAACCCUAGAGCCAAAAAGCUUGCAUGUCUAGGUGUUGGUGGAGUAGUACCACCGGUCGGUUAAGUCUUGUUGAGCGUAGUCGCUCAGCCUUGUUGUGGCAUAUCUCUUUUCAAGUGAUGUUGAUACCUCUGAGUUCGAUGCAAGUGGCACUUGGCCUGCCCAACUUGCUCCGGGUUGGACGGUCGAGUGGGAUCCCUCCUCGGACAGCAAGGAUAAGGAUCAUUGAUGUCAUGACCGGCUUCUUCAUGAAGAUCAUGCAACAAUGUCUAGCUUUCGCUUAUUUAUUUCCGCUGCUUGAAAACUCUGCAAACUUGUUGAAUUUCGGAACUCAUGUUAUAAUAAUUCAAUGCACUUUGUUAAAUCUGGAUGGACUGUUGUAAUCUCUGUAACCACUCACCAUCGUGUGAGUCUUGCUUUAUCGAUCCUGAGUUAAGUGGUUUAUCGGAUGAAAUCCGACGGACGACCAAGUUGACUUGUUUAAAGUACAUGAUCGCGUGUUAGGUGACUUAAGUGUGCUUUAGCCAUGUUAAUUUGGGCGGUUCCGCCACAGCGCAAGCGUGGCUUUGCCGCGGUCGUGGGUUGUGGAGCGAGGCACUCGUGCGGUCACUGUCCGGGCAUCGAUAGGCGAACGGAGCUUGGCCGGUCCGAGGCGGUGGCGUGGCAUCCUCUGGCGGGCGGAGCUAGCUCAAGACGGGGCGAAGGGCAUGCGUGGCAUCAGGGAGCGGGAUAAGCGCGCUCGCCUACUAGGCAGCCGAGCGCGCGAGUUGUUGUGUCGCGGCCGUCGGUUGGGCGACGGUGAGCUCGCCAGUUGAUGGCGGCCACGCGGCGGGUAGCGUGCGGGAACGCGCGUCGCGGCGCACUCUGGCCGAGGGCGUCGCAAGGUAGGGGGAAAAGGCUAGGUUUGGGGGAUUUUUGUUAAAACUUUUUCAAAAGAACCCGUGAAACUCCAAAAGUAAAACAUGUAGUCCUAACGUCCAGCUCCAAACUUUACAAAAAGAGUUUGCUUAAAUUCGAUAUGGAUUUGAACCUAUGGAUUUGCAAAGUUCGGCAGAACGUCAGCCUCCUAGGACUUAGACAGAUUUUGGUUUUGCUGUUUUUAAGCAUUUUGGCCAACUUUGGCUCAGAUUUUGAGUAGCUUCCCAUUUGAAUCAUGCCAAGCUAUAAUUGAAGGAAUUGUUCUUCGAUCUUAGGACUCCAACUCCUAGUAAGGACUUUUCUCAGGUUCAGUUCAAUUUUUAGGAGAAACAGGCUUGCCAACAUGCGUGCUCUGGGUGUCCUUCCAGACUUAGCGCAGAAAAGCAUUUGUGCUAGCUUGACUAUUUUGAGCGACAUUGACCAAGAUUUUGAAUAGGUUUGGUUGUGAAUUAGACUUGGGUCAGUAUAACAAAGUUGUAACACACUCGCGGAACUACAACUUCUAUUAGGGGUUUGACUCGAGGUUAGAUAUAGAAUUGUGAGAUAAUAGGUUGCAAAGUAGAGGAAAAACAUGAGUUCCAGGACUUACGUUAUUUGCAGGAUUUUGAUGUACUCCUGAUUUGACUCUUAUUUUUGACCUUCUUCCACUCCAAAUUAGCCGAUGUGUUAUUAAUAAAAUUUGUUUGAAAUUAAAAGUUUUACAACUCCUAUUUGGGCAAAAAUUCAAGUUUGUAUACAAAAACUCAAGUUUCCUAUUUAACCCCAAAAGGAGAUUUUUAGGGGCAAAUUGGACAUUUCACUUCUUCUACUUAGUGACUAAUGACUUUAUUAAGUAUAACUACACCUAAUUAAGGUAGAAUUGUUACAGGGAUCGACCAGGACAACUGACAGGGGAUGCCCACUUGGUGUGGACCCAGGGAGUAGGUUAAGCAGAUAAAGGAAAACACAAAGGUCAACCACUGUACAGAGGACCAUACCUAGCCAUGCCCUGCGCAAACGCCGCACAGUGCCACCGUGCAAUGUCAGGCGAACACUGUGCUACCUGACCGUCACAACGGAGCAUGAACAAGGAUGGAGUGCGAUGGUCAUACUGUACCCGGCGACGUGGGCAACGACAAGACUAGGCAGCGCUCGUACUCUCUCUCUCUCUAACUUGUAAGGCUGUCCCCUUGGACUAUAAAAGGGGAUGGGCCCUCUCUCUCCCAAAUAGGUGAAGCGUCCCCACAUCAGCGGAGACUAAAUGUGAUAGAAAUAUCAGUCCCAGGAGGCUGAUAACACAUUUAUUCGACAGAUGGUUCAAAAACCGUACAACUCCCGAAGGAGCGGGCGGGCAAGCCACACCCAAAGAAGAACUAAACCAAUAACGAUACAAAUCCAAGUUGCAGUCCAGUCGGACUCCGGGCUGCAAUCGGAACUAAGCGUCAGCGGAAGCAUUCUGCAAAAGCCAACACCACAGGCAGCGUUGGGUGCGGACACGACCUCCUACUCGAGAUCCUUGGCGAUGUAGUCUGGGUCUUCCUCUGAAGCAACAAAACAAGGGUGAGUACGAAGGUACUCAACAAGUCCAACCCCAUCCACGGAGGGGGAUACAAACAAGAGUAUGCACAGGAUAUAACAAGGAUAAGGUUAAGGUUCAUUUGCAACAAAGCUAGAUUUUCAACACAUGCAGAGGUUCAUUUCCAAAAGAGUUUUUGCAAAGCAUUUCCUUUAUUAACCGAAACAUUAAGUGGGGUUGAUCCUACACAAAGGAUCCAAAUUUUAUUGCUAUCGGACUCCCCGUCCGCCAUAGCUCAUGACACAACUGCCGGACACUUCCAAAGUCCAACACACGCCAUAAAAACCAUCCAUCUCCAAGUGCUAGUUAUGUGACCAAGCCGUAACUCGUCCAAUCCCAUGGACACAGCUACCCGGAUAGGUUUUAACUCUGCAGAGGUUGUACACUUUUCCCUCAAGUAGGGUACCGCAGUACGAUCACCUUAGUGCCAGUGCGAAUCCUAACAAAGCCAUUACCCACCUUAGCUAAGAAUGACUAGUCCACACGGAAGCAACCAAGGGGUUAAUGACAUACCAACGAGGUUGUAACCGGGACCUAAGUCACAAAGAUCUUACUCCUUUUUCAUGGGCUGCCGUUGCUCACUAGCUCACCCGAAGACUAACAGUUUAGCUAGUGGGAUUUAUGCUAAGCCGUUGCCGCAUACAAUGGAGUGGUUGCACGAAGGUUGGGUUAGGCAAGAUGACACAUUAACUUGGUCCUUAACCAUGACAAGAUGGAUAUCUCCCAACCUUGCUCAAGCACCAAGGUACGAGCCCAACAUAUUGGCAUUUCACACCUGAAACACCCAUCCAUCUCAUCUAAGCAUUUCUUUCCUUUACUUCCAAAAAACCCAAUUUCCCUUUUUAAAAUACUCACACAUUUAUUUUUUAACAAAACACAUUAUGGUCAUGACUGAAUUGAGUAACAAGGUCCUAAGCAUUCUAGCAGUAAUUAUCAUCCAAACAGAGCAAGUCAUAUUUAGAGAUAGUUAUAGGACAAGCAAGGAAUAAUCAUAACAAUCAAGGGGUGGCUAUCCAACCAUGUUUCGGCGGUAAAAUAAUAUGCAAUUUAUAAAAUAGGCCAAUAUGUUGUGUUUGAAAAACUAGGAUAAAUAUGCAUCAAAGGGUGAGAUUGGACUUGCCGUUCUCAAAGCCUUCCGGGAGUUCCUGCUCGCGGUACUGGUCCUCGGGCUCGGGCUCAUGGUCAAACUCCUCCUCAUGCUCCUCCUUGGGUACUCCACGAUCUAAGCACACACAAUCGAGCACACAAUAAAUAAAAGAGAAUUAAAAAUUUUCCCAUUGAGCUACGAACAGAGAAUGCGAACGGAAAAUUGAAGGAGUGAGCAUUUUCAUGAAAUUUGGAUAUGCCUCAGUGGAAGUAUAUGGGAGGAGGCCGUGAUCGAAUUUGGGAUCAAUUGGAGGAAGUUUGGCGCAUGAAAUGAUGAGUUAAAGGAGUGUUAGGGGCUUAAAUCAAGGUUUAGGACUAAACUGCGAGAACUAGGGACCUAUUUGUAAUAAUUUCCGAAAGGUGGAAGGGCGUAUCCGUGAGAUUUCUUUGAGAGAGGUGGGAGGGCUGGUUUGCAAAUAGGGGAAACUAGGAGGUUAGAUCGAAAUGGAGGCCUUCUUCUUCCUUGGGCCGAGACAGAGAGAUUGGAGGGGAGGGAAACCGGUGGGGGGGCCGGCCGGCCGGGCCUCACCGGCGGCAAGCUGAGUGGUGGGGGAGGUAGAGGGGGACGAGGGCGUCCCGUUUGAGGUUUCACCUCGGGCGGAUGGUGGCCGGAGAUGGGGCGUCGGCGGCGGGCAAAGGAGGCGGCGGCGGAGCUCCUGACAGCGGCGCACAGGGCGGUGGGGAAGGGGGUGACGAGCUAGGGGGGAGAUGCUGGUGGUGUGGGGAGGCGGCAGGGGCUCGGCCCCCUUUUUAUAGGCGGCGAGGAGGAGCUCGAUGGCCAGCGGCCUUCAAUGGUGGCCGAGAAUCCCGGUCGGUGGCGUGCCGGAGCGGAGCUCCACGUGGACGGCGUGGUGGGGCUGGCUCGGUCGACGAGGAGCACAGGAGGCACACAGGGGUGGUGGCCGGCGUGGCGUGCGGCCGGUGCUCAUCGGGCGGGGCCGGCCAGGCGCAGGCGGUGGCGUGCGGCUCGACGCGCGAGGCCGGGCGCGGGCGCGGAGCCGGACUAGGCGCAGGCGCGGGGCCGGCACGGGCCAGGCGCAGGAGCCGGGGCCGGGUGAGCGGUGCCAGGCGCCAGACGCCAGGGAGGCGGCGCUAGGGAGAGGAGAGGAAAGAGAGGAGGAGGGAGGAGGAAGAAGGAAGAAAGAGAAGGAAGGAAGGGAAAAAAGAAAAGGGGGAAAAGGAAAAGGAAAAAGGGAAAUCGGCGAUAGUUGCGGAAUUGGUCGGGCACGCGUGACGGAUUUGACGAGCACGCGGCUAAAUUUGCGGGGAACGGAAAAAGAUGAUUGUCGAUGUUGGGUGCCGGGAUGGCGGGUCGCCGAGAAGGAAAAGAUUUUUCGGGAGCUCAAUGGUCGAAAGAUUUUGAAAUAAAUUUUUUAGCGGGUGAUUUGAGUUAGUAAAUUUUACGGACAUUACAAUAGGCCAUACACAUGAGGCACAUCAAAAACCCUCUGAUUCUCUCCAGCACAUAGCACACGCUUUAAGCCCCCCGUCACUCUCUUCCACUUGGACCAGAGCACGACCGGGUCUCGGACACCCCCUUCUCACCCCCAACUCGUUUGUACCCCAACUACAAACUUGGAGCACCUGGGCUUAGGAAUACAGUCAACCAACUGACCUCGAACUGAACGUAGGUCACGUAGCCCGAACCAGUAUAAAACCUGUGUCAUUGUGUGCUAGGCCAUUCCGAUCUAACGCACGGCAAAACUACUAACAUUUACUUGUCGGCCAGAUUCCGCCCCGACAGCACUCAUCUCCAAACUUAACCCAUUUGAUUGUUCCUCUUUGCUUCCAUUAGAUCUUUUGUUGGUGAAGAAGGUUCUGUAAGUGAUUCCUAAUUAUGUGCCUAAAGAUCCAUUUUUCUAAGGUUAAAUCUCAUUGUUCUUCCAUAAUGUUCAGGAGCUGGAUCAAGUCUUUGCAGUUCCUGAUGGUAGCUGGUAAAUUUGGUAGUUGUGCUUUUCAAGCAUUUAACACUCUCCCCUUAGGUUCUUAAAUUUUGCACUUAUCGUCUUGGUACUAUCAAUUUGAGGGUUGGGCAAAUUCCAUCCAUGUUAUAGAACUAGCACAAAAUUCUCAUGUUCCAACCAAUAGCUUUCAAAUCUGAAUAUCCUAGGCUUAGGAACAUUUGUGCUUGCCGUGAUGGUACAUGGAGUGUGAUAUGAGAUGUCUCUGGACAACCCUGAGGCAAAGGAGUUUCAAAAAAUAGUUGUCCAAGCAUUAGAUGUGAAGAACCAGUCUAAUCUUUCCAGUAAAGGAUUCUGUUGCUUGUUUGUCCAGGUAAAUUUGCAUCCUCUAAAGGGCAAUUCCACUAAACUAAGGUUGCUAAUGGUUUCAUUAAAAGCCAGCAUUUCCUGAAGAUUACCCCUAGCUUAUUCCUAUCUUCUCCUAUCUUCAAGCUUCCUGAUGAGGUUGAAGUCUCAGCCAUUUUUCGUCAUCAGGCAUAUUAAUCCUUUUGAACCAGUUCAAAAAUGCGGUUUUGCCUUCUCUAGUACAGGGUGCAUAGAUAUUGGUUAGGAUCCAGUUUUCUCCAAUCUACCUACAUGAGAAUUAUACUGAUUGGGCAUAAUCAUUUUGAAAGUCCAAGUGACCACUGAACUUGGAACUGUUCCAGAUAAUGUUAGUCCCUCCUGAGUUACCCACUAAUAGUAAGAACACAUAAUCAUCCAUAUAUGCUGGAUAGAAAUUUUAACAUAUGUAAUAUCGAAGAAUUCUUUCUAAGUUUCUUGUAGACAUAGAAUAUCACAUUUGGAUUUACAAAUCUUGCUUUUGACCGCAUCCCAUUUCCCAUCAGAGUUAAUACCUCUAAUAUUCCACGAUAGAAUGACCCAAUUCCUUUUAUGUUGUCCCUGAUUAUAGAUGCUCAUUGAUGAGAAGCCCAACAAAUCGCAUGUGUAAGAUACAAUUAUCCACAGGAUGUCCAAACCGAAAUAAAUAAACAUUCUAAUUAAGAUAAAGAUCACCAGGAUCAACCACAUGUUCAUAAGGGAUAAUAAAGAAGUCCACAUCCCCAAGACAUUACAGUUUAACAAAAUCUCAACCAUUCCCAUCAUGAUACAGGAUAAACUAAUAAUGAAGAUAGCAAAUAAGAUCUUGCUACUUCUUGAUCUUCUUGCGUGAUUCCUCGGAUUCAAUCUCAUCGAUCUUCUCUUUGCUUUUCUCUCUCUUGGAGUUGAUUACCUUCCUGGAGGUCUUGUGGCUUCCAAUGACUUGCUUGUUCUUGCCUUUGUUGCAUAAUGCAUCCUCAGACAGAGCUUGUUGAAUAGCUUGUUCAGGUCCACUCUGCGGGAAGCCAUCUCCGGUGAGAUGUUCGGCGUCUCCGAACUUCUCCAGGAUCCAGCGGCUAUCGGAACCGGAGACAUGGACAACACUGAUUGAGGUGUUAGGAAUUUUCCUGCCAACCGAGAUCGUUGGAUCGGCAUGCCUGCAGAUUUCCUCUAUGACUGCCUCAUGAGAGACGACGACCACCCGCUCACCUGUUGAUGCAACACACGACAGCUUGAAAUUCACCACCGGGUACAAGUUUUGACCAUACAGCAGAGAGCACCAGAAAUUACUAUGUGGAUCGGUGCUUACCCUUGUGCUUCUCGGCGAUUGCAUUCAAGCGGGAAACACAGCGCUCGGAAAGUUGAUCAAGACUCUCCCCACCACCCUGUCCAAAAGGAGAUGACUAGUGAGUAAUAUAUAGCUUUUACUUCAACUAAGACUAAUUAAGUACAACUUCGAGAUCAGAGGAGAAUGGAAAUUAGUUACAGGUAUUUCUUGGUCUCUGCCACCACGUGCGAAAGCCUUGUAAGCUUCAGAUCUCUUGGCAUCGUCAAUGGUCCAACCUUGGAACAAUCCCAUGUGCCUUUCCGUCAGUGCCCGAUCAAUCACCAGCUGAAACAGCACAGAAGCCCAUUUAUUCGGAUGAUAUAUAGAACACGAAUUCGUGAAGCGAGAAAAAUUAGCACAUCAAAAAACGUUCAUACAUCAGAAUCAGAUACGCAGCAAUGCGCUGCGAUCGUUUGCGCAGUCUGGGAAGCACGCUUCAAGUCAGAGGAGUAGACGGCAGCUGGCUUGGCUUCUUCCGACAGACGACGGGCAACCUUGAGGGUUUGAACAAAAUCAGAAUCACGUACAUAAUCUCAAGUCAUGACGAUCUCACAAAGUAUGGCGUACCUUGGCAGCUUGCUGCCUACCAGUUUCGUUCAGCUCCUGAUCGAUCCGUCCCUGUUGAAACUUAAAAUAAGCCUUAACACAUGUUGUAUUGCAUCGCAGAGGGAGAAUCAUAUCUAAGUGAUGCGAUAAGUAGCAAGCUGUGACAGGACAGGAUGAACAAGAAGCGACCUGAAUGAUGCGGGAGACGUUCCAAUCCGUCUGUCCAUGGCGCACCAACACCACCUCCGCGAAGUGCUCGCCGUGCGUCGAUGCAGGUGCCAUGAUCGAUCGGCCGGCGUUACUGCUGCAGAGGGAAGGGGAGAUGGAUGGUCUGGAACCUCUCUGAUGCUGUAUGAUCUAGCUGCCCUGCAGAGGGAAGGGGCGACUUUAUGGAGGCCAGAGGCACAAGGGAGGAAACGCCGCGGCGAAGACCUGGGAUUUCCCUCGACAGCACCAGGAGGCCAUCUCCAUGUACGAUUGUUGCUUGGACUCCAAUGCAUCUCCAUGUACGCGACCACGGCGAAAAGGCCAUUUCCGUCGAGCGCACCUCCAUGCGACGGUGGCGGGGGGUUGACUAAAAAAUUAGAAACACGGUUUGAGCCACAACAGCCAUUCCAACAGCAGCUUCCGGAAGGCUCUGGAAGGCUCUGGAAUCACAAGCAUAAUUCGUGUACGUUUUGAAGAUGGAAAGAUGGCGACCUGCUAGUUGACUUCCAACAGCAGGUUUGGGCAACACGCCAUUCCAGCAGCAGGUUUGGGCAACGCCAUUCGAGGAUCGGCUUCUCCAGGAAGUACGUGGCCAACUAAUAUAACCUGCAGUUGGUCGGCGGACCAAAUUAAAGAAGCUAUCCACUUUCUUCUGCAUCAAGACCUCCUGUUAACCGGCCCCAUCCACUUUCUUCUCCAUCAAGACCUCCGGGGUCCUGCGCGGACCAUUGGCGCGGCCACGUCGCCCUGUUUUCCCGACGUCGGAUCGUGCGAUCCCGUAGGCAUGUGGAAUUUUGCAAAAAAAACCUUCAGUUCUCCGCUAAUCUACUUCGGGUUUAGGGAGGACCCUCGCCAACUGUAACCACGUUCAAUUUAUUUGCGGCACACCCCUUUGGUUAAAUAAUAUUUCAACAUCAAGAAGAGAAAAUUCCAAUUCUGCGUCGCUUUUGAAAAAAACCACCUGCCUAUCAUUUUGCGAAGAACCCCACCGCAACCUCGCAGCAACACACACUUGGCCCCAAGCCACCGCUCCCUCCCAAUUCUCUCCACAUCCCCCUCUCUCUAACCCUCCCGCCCUACCUGACGGCUGCCGCACACUUUAGUUGGCAUUGUUAGUGUCUUUUGAUGUUCUUAAUGCCUGCUACUGGUUCAGAUUUAUUUCUUUCCCCUUCUGUAUUUAACUAGGUUUGGUAGUAGCUUGUAGCCUUGCCUUUAUUCAACCCUAGCACCAGUAAAUGUAGGCCAUGGAGUUAUAAAAAAUUGAUAAACCAGCCACUUCAAUAAAUUGGUGUCUCCCAAUUCUAACUCUUGGUGCUUAUACCAAAAGCAAGCAUCGGACUGAAUAUUUCUGCAAAAAAUUAGCUUCAAGAUCGCUAUCUACGAUAUUUCGAUCAUUUGAUUUCUUUUCCUUUUCUUUUUUUUUGCGAAACACCAUUUGAUUUCUUGAUGGUGAUGAGUUAACUGUGUUGUGAGGUGAGAUAAUCCAUUGUCUCAAAUCAUUCCUGAUGUUGAGACCUUUAGUAAAAUGGCAUUUUGAGAAUAUUGUGGAUUGCUUUAAUUUUUACAGCUAGUGCUUGCAAACUCUGUAUGUGUCAUUCAGACAGCUUGAUUGCAUAUGACCUUCCUCAACAAUACAUUCAUUUUAUGACAUGCUUUUCAGGUUAGGUUGGAGAAAAAGAGGGCAAACUGAAGAUUGCGCUAAUGAAAACAAAUUUUCAGCUUAUGCUCCAAUAAUUUUCUAAAUCCUAUUAUCAUUAAUUAGUUUGAAGAAACGAUGGGAUCUGUAACCUGGUAAAGCUACCCAUUUAUAUGGAGACUCAAAAGACUUUCUAAUUUGCGCAGGUCAGCAGUGAUUAAAACAUUGCAUAAUUCUUUCUAUUUAUUACCAUGUAGUUUCAGCUUUUGUACCCGUUGAUUUGUCUAUGAAAUUAUGUGCACCGGAUUAAGGAAAGGUUAUGCCAAAAAUGGUGCUAGCUCAAUGACAACAAGACGUGAGCAAUAUAACCUAAUUAUCCAAUUUUGGUUGGUGGACAUGUGAUUUCCACCGUCGAAACUCCAAAAUUACAUUAAAAAUUGGGCCGGAGAAAUUAUUACACAGCUGUUUACCGCACUAAACAAUGAACUUUCGUGGCAAAAGAAAAUAAUAAAAUGAAGGGUCGUAGACAUGCCUGUUUCCAAUUUCUCUCUUGACAGGCCAACAGACCAACAUUGAUGAGAGGGCUACUUAGACUCCCUGAUACAUUUCUCCUAGGAGAGGCCUCGGAAUCUGCUGAAUGUCUAACUGAAGGACUCUAUAGAAUAAAAGAGAAUGUCUGUAAGUAAUAAUCAUCAAAUUUAUUUGUUGAAAGCCUGCAUCAAUCAUCAAUUACACUGCAUUGUGUUAACGGUAGGCCAUGUUAGCUAUUAUGUAUCCAAAAAGAUCAAAUUAAAUUUGAACCAGAGAAUCAAGAAAGAGAUGAAACAGAUGAAACGACCUACUAUGAGCCAAGAAAUUAUCUGUAUGUUUAAACUCUGAAUUAUCAAACAAUUCUAAAUUAAGCUGGUUUACAUAAAAGGAAAAGGUGUGUACUCCGUAUGAGCAUGGGCUUCCUAUUUUUAAGUUUUAAACCUGCUGAAUCAGAACGAUUUUAUGGCAUAGAGGUACUGAAUUACUGAUAAAGAAAACAUUGCAGAGAACAGUAACAUAUACACAAUGAAGGCGGAUCGCACAGAUGGUAGCAUGGCGCAGGGUAAGAAGAAGGCACGGAGCGGCGUUUUUUUUUAAAUUGAUUUAAUUUAGAAUAAAUACCACAGCAUUCUCACGUGGUACCUCUGCUGCUGCACAAAUUAUAGCAAAGACCGUCCGCCGCACGCGUACUGCUUCUACACAGUCCCGUGUCAUAGGCACACCGCACACACGUAUGGCUGCACUACAAAGCCGUUCCCCUGCCGAUGCAGAAGCAGCAAGCCAGCAUUAUUAGGGUAGAAUCAAACACUUUACACUUCAGGGUUACAUUCACAACUGCCUAUGAGCAGGCAUUUACAAGCAGCAGUGCAAUGCUUCAAAUUUCAGUGUGGUAUUGUUUACCCACAGAGGAAUUUCUAUACAAGUUCAUUAUCAUUGCACUGACAAGUGAGAGCAUUGUAGUAAUGGAAGAAUGGAGGCAUGUUCAAGCGUAUCAAGGACUCGAGGUAGCCGAUUGUAUUGCCGUACGAACAAGAGCAGAGCAGCAUGUUUUCUUGCCAUCGCCGCCAAAUGCACUCUGCAGAAAGCCAUCUUCAUUGAUGUGGCCGACGUCCCCGAGC